ensembl:lncRNA
CGCUAGAGACUCUGCCUCCUAAGAGACACGUUAAGCUGACUCUGUGUCUCUGUCAUUCAUCUUCACUCCCCAGGUCAGAGAGAACAAAGCAGCAGCUCUAGGUCCCGGAAUAAGGCUGGCCGAGUGGGUCAGCUACAGGUGGUGCCCCAGCAUGGGGCUCGGGACCUGGGCUUGCCUACAUAUAGGUGUUUUCUCCCUCCCCACAGAUCCAAGGGGAAGAAUGGGGCAGGUCUGGGUCCUGUUUAGGAAGGGUGGUCUGUAGCCAGAAGAAGACAGGAGAGGUGCUGGAGAAGCAACACAUGUGGCCCCCUUGGUCCUAGAGAGAGGAGGGGGUGCUGUUUCUCCUCACAGUCACAUCUCAGGACAGUGAACCAGGUGGUGCAGUCCUUGCCCCUGCAGAGCUCACCUUCCAGAGAAGAUCCUAGACAGAUAAAUAGGCACACGCAGCAGCGUCACUUAGCAUCUGGGUGGGUAGGGGAACAGCCCACCCACCCUGGGGCUGUAAAGGCAAGGGAGGUGCUAAUUAGGUGGGGUGGCAGAGAAAGCUGCUAGGAGGGUGCAAAAUGUGCAGAAAGUACAGUGCACUCAGGGUUAACCACAGCAUUUCUGGAAGAAAAGAAUACAAGCAGAGGAAAGAGCAAGUUCAAAGGCCCUGUGGUGAGAAUGCUCAGUGUGGCCAGAGUGGAACGACACAGAGGGAGGAGAGGAGAUCUGAUAGCUAUGCAAGGCCCAGAUCCUGGGCUCAGGUUGUAUCUAGGCCUUGGCAAGGAGUCUAGAUUUGCUUUAGAGGGAGAAGAAACUGAUGGGGUUUUUCUGAACAGGAGAAUGCCAUGAUCCUAUUUGCAUUUACAAAGAACACUCCCAUGACUCCAUAGUGAUUUUUUAAAUAGAUACAUCCCAUCUGUACUCCAGCCUCAUCAGUAUGUUUCUUAAAUCAGUUAACUUUACUCAAGUAACAUUCUUAAGGAAAUUUGAUGUUCCACCUCUGCAAAUGAAAAAUCAGUAUUGUCUGCCAUAAAUAGAAGAAAACCCGUAAAAACAAAUACAACCAAAACAAAGAAGUGUUAUUACUUUUUCACCAAAGACUCCUAACGAUGAUGAACCUGAGCCUGGAGCCCCCUCUGUCUGAAGGAAAGUUAGUAAGCACUGGAGAACCUAAAGUCAACUAGCACCCACCUGAGACUCUCUCCACGGGGCGCUGGAGUAUCUGAAAGAAACUUGGUGCGGAAAUACGUCUCCCACAGUAGGAUACCCCAGUCCUUCAUGCUGGUUCCAGUAGCCACAAAUCAUCUCAUAGCCUUCAUGGGCACCCUGACUAGUCUUUGGGGAAAACAUCAUAAGGGAAUAUAUUUUCAAUUUGAUAUUUCAGGUAUACUUGAAAUCAAAUCAAAAGACUUCCAGGGGCUGGGGACUUAGCUCAGUGGUUCUGGAGCCUGCCUUGCAAGUGCAAGGUCCCUAGUUCGAUCUUCGGUACAAAAAAAGAAAAAGGCUUCCAUCCUUCCCCUCUGAGACCAGGUGAUAAAUGUUUCAGAAGUGUCUGCUGUUACUCAUUAGCUCCAGAAGCUACAAAGACAGCGUGUGUAGGGUGGUGUUGUGCUUUGGUUUGGGCUGGCUUUGGGUUUUCCUUUUUGCAUACUUAUUCUCCAUGCACUGACUUCAGCUCAGCUGGCUAGGUGACCAGGUGCCAUUGCACUGCACCUGCCCCACCUGUUAUUGACAGCAGGGCCAACGUAAGGGCAUGAGGCCAAUCACACUGGCCCUGUACCCAAAGUAAAGUAGGAAACAGGCAGCGUGGGACUGAAGGACAAAUUUCCACUCAGGGGCUGCCACCUCACCUGGUAACAGAAUGUUACCCGCUUCCCUUUAGGAAUUUGCACGAUGUACAUCAUAGAGUCACAGGCAUUUGACUCCCAAAGAGUCCUUUGGACACAAGUUUCAUUUCAACAGUGGGGAAACUGAGCCCCAGAGAGAAAGCAACCUGCCUGUGUGCUCAGGACAAGGAAGUUUUCCUUGAAUAUUCCCUUUGAUCAGUGUGACUACAAUUUGCUUUUUAUGUCUGUUGAGAUUCAGAAGGGUUUUCACUCACAUGCACAUCUAUUUAUCAAUUGUUUAUCAAUUGCUUUCUAAGAAGCCACAUAUUCACAUGAGCAUCCAUAUAUAGGGGUAGGGAAAAGUUCUUCAUAACCCCCUCUCCCAGGAUCAGCCUGGACAAAGCAAAGGCAGCCGCACCAGGGUGAAGCUUCCAGUUUCCAAAGCACAAGGCCUUCUCGGCUUAUUGGCAGUCGGAUCAGGUGCCUGCAGAGAGGCCUGACUCUGUAUUUUCACUUAAUUGAAAAACCCACAUCAUCCAAGAGAGCAUCCAUGUUCGGUGACCCUUCCCUCCCUCGACGGUGACCAUUAACCUUUAAAAAGAUGCUUCGUGAGCCAGUUAGGGAGCCGCCGCCUCCAUGCCAAGGUGCAGUGAGGCUCAGAGAAGGGACCCCAUUAGGAGGGCCGGACAUGAGAAAUGCCGCAAAUGAAGGCUGGGCAGAGCAGGUACCUGGGCCACCAGAGGUCCCAGCAUGGCUGUGUCCGUGGCCUCUCAGGGCACCCAAGCCUCAGCCACAGACCUCUGGGGUGACCCAGUCUUGUUAAAGAAGUGAGUUCAACAGAGCCAACUGUGAAUGAAAUGGGUAAAUCAGAUCCUGUUGAUCCUCUGGCCAGAACCCUGUGCUGCUCUUACAGACUCAGAGUAGAAGCCAUGGCCUCUGCUUGAUCCAGCCCUUCCUCACUGGCCUGCUUCCUCUAUCUCUGUACCCCUUCUCUCCCCUCUCCAGCCACACUGACAUCCUCACUAUGCUUCAUACACCCCAGGGCCUUUGCACAGCCAUUCGUCUGCUGGGAAAGCUUCGUCUCAAGAUAGUGUCAAGGCUGCUGCCUCUCACUGUGGCUGCCUCCGGGAGGUCUUCCUUACCUUUAAAAAUCACCUCUGCACCCCCACACUCACUGUCCCCCUUCCCCCAACCAGGACCUGACAUGUGCAGGCACCUUUCACUGCUUGACCUGUCAGCAUUUGCGGAUCUAGAGAAGGGGGUGCCCUGUCCAAGGGCAAGCGUCCCUCUUUUCAGUCUGUUUGGCUCACAGCUGUGUCCCUAGUGCAGGGCACGGUGCCAGACACUCAGCAGGGCCUCCAUAAAUAUUUGUAGCCUGAGCAAGUGAACAAAUGGAUGGAAUCACAUUUGAAAGACAAAGCUCUGGGACUUCAAAGAACUUGUUGAUUAAAGGGGUGGAGUUCAGCUGUGCUGUCCUCUACAUGGGAUUUCUUCUCAGGGAGGCUCAUCCCCUGAGCUGGACAGCUCCCAGCUGACUGCCUCCCUGCUCAGUGGCAGCAGCAGAAAGACAGGUGCCCACAACACCAGCCCCAAAGUCCGAGGUUGCUCACCAUUGACUGCCUUGAGUCACGUGCCCUUUGCUGGACCAAUCACAGUGGCCAGAAAUGGAAUAUGGGGUCAUCAAGGCCCAGACACAGAGGUGUGGGGGCUCCCAAUAUGCCACUCUCAGGAGACAUAGGCUGCUAGAAACAACAGAUGACCCCUGUACUAGGGAACAGUUAAAAGAAAAUACUGGGCUGGGGAUUUAGCUCAGUGGUUUUGCCACCUGCUGCUGCAUAAGCACAAGGACCCGAGUUCAAUCCCUGGUAUCAAAAAAAAAAAUACUAAUGCUCUUUGACAUUCUGAAAUCAAAGAUUUGAAAUCCAAACUCAUAAGUGACAGUUCAUUUUAAGUCAACUUGGCAAGGCCGUGGUGCCCAGAGAUGAGGUCAAAUAUUAUUUAGAAGUUUCUAUAAGGGUGUUUGGGGAUGAGAUUAACAUUUAAAUCAGUGGACUUUAAGGAAAGCAGAUUGCCCUCCAUAAUGUGGGGGGCCACAUCCAAUCAGGUGAAGGCCUGCAUAGAAGAAAACACUGACCUCCUGCAAGCAAAAAGAAUUCUUCAGCAGAUGUCUCAGACUUAAACAGCAGCACCAGCUCCUUCCAGGGUCUCCAGCCUGCUGCUCUACCCUGCGGGUGCUGGACUUGCCAGCCCCCAUAGCCACAGGAGCCAAUUGCUGAAGAUAAACUUCUUUCCGUAUAUGAACCAUAGGUGUUGAAAAACUUUACCCUCUGAAGGUUUGAUAAUUGGGUCUAUGAAGUAUACUGACAAUGGACAGACUAAUGGGAGAAAAGUUAUACAAAUUCCUUACCCACACAGGGGCAUCACAGGAAAGAGAAGUGACCAGUCCCAGCCCAGGGUGAUCCGGAAUCAUAUAUACCUGCUUCAGUGGGGAGGGGGAAGGGGAAGGCUAACUGGCCAUUGGGUGCCAGCCGGGGGUAAAGUAUCUGGGCACAGAGUGACCUUGGGUACACCUGCUGUGAUGGAAGUCCACCUUUCUCUGGCUGACCAGGGCCCUGGCAGGGGAUUCUUGAUUAUUGGUUGGUUCCCUUUGUAGGAUCCAACUUUAGGCAGAUAAGGGAAGCUUGGCCGAGCCCUCUCUGUGCUUGCUGUCCCCAGGUGUCCUCUCUCUGAAAUACUCCACACACUCAAGGGCAUGUUUUUGGUGGCAUCUUUUGAACUCCUCAGCACAUGUUCUGUUGAGUGUGUCUUCUGGGAGCCCUGACUCACACCACACACUGUACUUGAAUAAAGGUUACUUCCAAAGCCCCUCACCUCUGGACUGUAACCAACUUGGUGACAAACUUAGUCCAUCUCCAUAUGCUGGCAUUUGCCACGUGGAAAAGGCCAUUUGACAGAUGGAAGCUGCGGUCCCACCCCCAACUCCCAUUUUCCUCUCUCUCUUUAAUGUUGAUUUUAUGCUCAUUUUAGAGACCCAGUCAAAAAGAUGGAUACAAGGCCAAAUCAGUGACAAAUGAAAAAGGGAUUUAGACACCUUGAGCUUUUGUGUUGUGUGGUGUGUGUGUGUGUGUGAGAGAGAGAGAGAUUAGUACUAUCCUUCGAAGGAAGGAAGGAGGAAGCUGAAUUCCUGACAGGGCUGGGAGGAGAUGGUGCCUGAACAGACUCUUGCAGUGGACCUCCACCUAGCCCUGUCUCCUAGGAUGAGGGUCCUCCAGUUUUCCUCCAGGGAUUGAAUUCACCUGACCCCACUGAUGGCCCAGUAUGAGCUCUUCCUGCUGCCAUCUGCUGCCCAGGGCCCAGGAUACCCUGUUCCUGCCCCUCCAAUGCCUCCUGCUCCCCAGACCUUCUGGUCGUUCUGCAUUUCUGUGCUCCAGGGUCUAACGUGGAUUCUGUGCCCUGUGACCUCAAAACCCAACAUAACUGAAGGUAUGUCCUCUUACCCAGGACACAUGCUGUAAGUCUGCCACACUGCUGAGUCUUCCACCCCAGGAGGCUCCUCCACAGCAUGUGGGAUGACACAGCAUCUCCAAGGAAUGCAGGACUGGGUGGCCCUGGGAGCAUCAAGAGUUGCCGGAGGAGAACCCUCAGGGAUGGAGACUGACCAAAGUUGGUGUCUUAGGUUCCACCUCCUAAAAUUUUCCAUGACAGCCAGGCAUCCUGUUGUGCUCAGGCCCAAGGGCUGGUCAGGCUGCCCCUGUGGAGAAGCAGCUAUGGCAGGUGGGGAUGACCUGUAUGUCAACCUGGGUGUUGUCAAGGGGCUAACAACUGUUAUGAUGAAUAAUGGCACCUUAACACUUGGUUAAACAUAUAUCAGAUGCAUUUCCAUGGGGAGACCUGUCUUGGGGAGAUUGGAUCCCCAUCAUCUGUGGAUGUCACUGCACACAUCAGUUUCCUGAAAUGAGGCAGAGAUGCCCAUGGCCCCCCUUCCUCCCCAGCAGCAAUGCGAGUGUCAUUGGUGCACCCAGCCCAGACGCUGAUGGGCUUGGAUGGCUGUAAUUGCAAACAUAACUGCAAACAAUAUAGGACCUGGGCUGUGUUAGGGCACUGUGUUGACCAAUUCCCUUGGGAAUUGAAUCAUUUCACACAGGAAAUGGAAAAGGCCUCCUAAUCUUCCCUUUGAAUGGGCUGUGAAAUAGGCUCUGAACCAACCCCGGGCAGAGUGGAGCAGCUGCAAGGCUUGGCCCUGAGACUGCCCAGCAAGGUGUCAGAAGUGGGGCACCCACAGGACACGGGGCUGGGGUGACCUGGUCAUAACAUGCAGUGGUCACAGCCGUGUCCACAGCAUCCCACACUCAGGAGGCUGCCAGGGCCAGUCUGGGUGCCUGGGGCACAUGCAUUCCUCAUGUGCCACCUGGUGCCCCACCUCAGAGGCACCCCAGAACCGAGGAACAAUUGCUGAGCUCCCCAGAACGAGGGGGACACACUUUGGUUCUGACACUAGCAGCUCCCUGUCCACACCGACCACUGACCACUGAUCUAGCAGUGCAGUGCUGCCUGUCACACAGGUCACUGCCUGGGCUCCGGGCAGCUUCCUGUCUGCUCCUGAGAAGGUGGCACCAAGGACGAGCGGGACCCAGCUAGGAAUUCCCUGCAAAUUAAAAGAACCGCAGAGCAUGCCCAAGCAGAUUUGCACAAACCCUUUCAACACACACUACCUAUGUCUCUGAGGUCACAAUGAUACAGGCACAGAACGCGCACCAGUGGGGACCACCAGGCCCGUUGCCUCCCCAAACUAUGUGGUAGACAGAGAAGAGUUUUAUAAAAGCACUCACUCCCUGAUGCGAUCUUUGUACAUAUAGAUAUUAUCACAGGGAGAUACUCAGAAAUGCAGAGCAAGAUUAUGUGGCAAUGUGUUCGUUGCAACAUAAAUUGGAAACAACACAAAUGCCCAAUGAUGUAGGAAUGGAAGUAUCCAGACAAGGGAACUGGAAGGCGUUGACCUCAUACACUUACAUCAAGUUUUAAAUAGCAUGAAAAAUGUUCAUGAUCUUGUGUGAAGUGAAACGUAACAGGCUAUAACUCUGUGUAUGAUGCUCUCAUCACAAAGGCACCCACAGUUAGAGAAAAAUCGUUGGGUAAAAAACAAAUCAAG